GUAUUCCUCAAAUAUUAGAAUGAAUUCUAACAACCAUCAAGAGACAUUUGAAGAAAUGUAAUUUUUCACAGUAUAAAAUAAAUAUAUAAAUGUAUACUUCAAAAUGCAUAAGAUCAGAGAACAUAUGGCACAAAUUCUUAAGUUUGUUAGUGUCAUAAUUAUUUUUCUUUUCGAAUUCGUUGUUGUAAUGGAUGGUAUCAUUGUAACAGAUGGAGCUAUUAAAUGCUGGUCUGAUGGAGAAUGUCGUAAAGCAAUGCCGGAUUGCACUCUUCCUAAACGUCCAAGGUGUAUAUCAGGGAUAUGUGAUUGUGUGUCAUAGUAGGAAUAAAGUUCAAAAAUAAUUUCAUGUAUUUGCAACUCUAAUAUUGAUGCUUUUUAAUUCUCUCAAA